rnacentral:rRNA from 1 species
AGUGAACGCUGGCGGUAGGCCUAACACAUGCAAGUCGAACGGCAGCACAGUAAGAGCUUGCUCUUACGGGUGGCGAGUGGCGGACGGGUGAGGAAUACAUCGGAAUCUACUUUUUCGUGGGGGAUAACGUAGGGAAACUUACGCUAAUACCGCAUACGACCUACGGGUGAAAGCAGGGGAUCUUCGGACCUUGCGCGAUUGAAUGAGCCGAUGUCGGAUUAGCUAGUUGGCGGGGUAAAGGCCCACCAAGGCGAAGAUCCGUAGCUGGUCUGAGAGGAUGAUCAGCCACACUGGAACUGAGCCACGGUCCAGACUCCUACGGGAGGCAGCAGUGGGGAAUAUUGGACAAUGGGCGCAAGCCUGAUCCAGCCAUACCGCGUUGGUGAAGAAGGCCUUCGGGUUGUAAAGCCCUUUUGUUGGGAAAGAAAAGCAGCAGGUUAAUACCCCGCUGUUCUGACGGUACCCAAAGAAUAAGCACCGGCUAACUUCGUG